GAUGAACGCUGGCGGCGUGCCUAAUACAUGCAAGUCGAGCGAACAGAUAAGGAGCUUGCUCCUUUGACGUUAGCGGCGGACGGGUGAGUAACACGUGGAUAACCUACCUAUAAGACUGGGAUAACUUCGGGAAACCGGAGCUAAUACCGGAUAACAUAUUGAACCGCAUGGUUCAAUAGUGAAAGGCGGCUUUGCUGUCACUUAUAGAUGGAUCCGCGCCGUAUUAGCUAGUUGGUAAGGUAACGGCUUACCAAGGCAACGAUACGUAGCCGACCUGAGAGGGUGAUCGGCCACACUGGAACUGAGACACGGUCCAGACUCCUACGGGAGGCAGCAGUAGGGAAUCUUCCGCAAUGGGCGAAAGCCUGACGGAGCAACGCCGCGUGAGUGAUGAAGGUCUUCGGAUCGUAAAACUCUGUUAUCAGGGAAGAACAAAUGUGUAAGUAACUGUGCACAUCUUGACGGUACCUGAUCAGAAAGCCACGGCUAACUACGUGC
rnacentral:rRNA from 1 species